AUGGGUCUUUUUGUUGACUGUCGAGUUGGACGCCGGGUGUCGAGCGCAUCCAGGUCGAGGGCGCUUAGCCCAUGGCCUCCUCAUUUCCAGCAGCUCCCCUACGACCACUACGAUCGUGUGCUUGGGGUUGCCGUGGAGUUUGGUGGCCUCCCGUCAUGUCUAGCACGCGUCGUCCUCUUCUCCAUCAACGAGGCAGCAUCGGCACAGCGCCAGAAGGAUGGGGAAAGCGGUGCAUUUGUGUUGCAGUUCGCCGGAGACUGGAGUGCAGCUCAGUUGGGCGGCCCGUGCGGCUCGGCCAGCUUUUCGCUGGAUGCGAUUCAGGUGCUGCCUGCCAGCGUCGCACCGGAGCGCGUCUCCGUUGUCCCCGGCGGCAGCGGCAGCGCCAUGAAGCACGACGACGACAAGUGGAAGGCGGCCACGAAGCACUACAAGGCCCUGUUGCCCGCGUUGUGGAGCGACAAGGUGCGAAACGUCAUGGACAUGAGCACCAUCUACGGAGGGUUCACGGCCAGCCUUGUCAAGGACCCCGUGUGUGUCAUGAACGUGGUCUCCUCCUACGGGCCCUACUCCCUCGGCAUCGUCUACGACAGAGGACUCAUCGGCACCAACCCACACAUUACCUCUUCUCCCAACUGCAUCCUGCUCGCCGUCAGAUGUUUAGCAUUCCCGUUACUAGAAUUGAAUUAA
rnacentral:rRNA from 1 species